UGGCGCAGCCGGCAGAUCUCCCCCACCCCACCCGCAGAGGCCGACUUACCCGCCCCUCCAGCUAGUCGUAAAGUGCAGUAAAGGCGCUGACGUUUUGCGGCACCGUCGGUGAGGCCGGCGGCGUGGAUUUUCUCUGUGCGCGAAUCAUCGCUUUCGUCUCCCUGGACUUUGAAAUGCUUUACCUGAUCGGCCUGGGCCUGGGCGAUGCCAAGGACAUCACAGUCAAGGGCCUGGAAAUUGUUAGACGCUGCAGUCGGGUGUAUCUGGAAGCCUAUACCUCAAUCCUGACUGUAGGGAAGGAAGUCUUGGAAGAGUUCUACGGAAGAAAAUUGAUUCUUGCUGAUAGAGAAGAAGUGGAACAAGAAGCAGAUAAUAUUUUAAAGGAUGCCGAUAUCUGUGAUGUUGCAUUCCUUGUGGUUGGUGAUCCAUUUGGGGCUACCACACACAGCGAUCUUAUUCUGAGAGCAACAAAACUGGGAAUCUCUUACCGAGUUAUUCACAAUGCUUCCAUAAUAAAUGCUGUAGGCUGCUGUGGUUUACAGUUGUAUAAGUUUGGAGAGACGGUAUCUAUUGUUUUUUGGACAGACACUUGGAGACCAGAAAGCUUCUUUGACAAAGUAAAGAAGAACAGACAAAACGGCAUGCACACGUUAUGCUUACUAGACAUCAAAGUAAAGGAGCAGUCUUUGGAAAAUCUAAUCAAGGGAAGGAAGAUCUAUGAACCUCCUCGGUAUAUGAGUGUAAACCAAGCAGCCCGGCAGCUUCUGGAGAUUGUUCAGAAUCAACGAGUACGAGGAGAAGAGCCAGCAGUCACCGAGAAGACACUCUGUGUUGGCUUAGCCAGGGUUGGAGCUGAGGACCAGAAAAUUGCAGCAGGCACUUUGCAGCAAAUGUGUACUGUGGACUUGGGAGGACCGUUACACUCUUUAAUUAUCACAGGAGACAACAUGCAUCCAUUGGAGAUGGAGAUGCUAAGUCUGUUUUCCAUACCAGAAAAUAGCGCAGAAUCCUAAAGCAUUGAUGGAAUGGAAGCAUAGACAUUUUCUAUUGUUAGACGUUAGUUUCAGUCAUAUAUGCACACACCCGUAUUUGUAUAAUGAACAGUUCUUUUGGUGUACCUAAUAAUUAUAAAACAAGUGACCAAGAAGAAAGAUCUUGACUCAAUAAUACUUAGUUUCCUGUGGCAGUGAGUUUUUUCCUUAUGACAUCAUCAUCUGUUGCUGCUAUUUUGGUGAUUUUUGAGGAUGUACACACAUGGAGCAGACCAAGCCUGAAAACUUGCGGAUAGAUAUUCAUAUUGUUAUUUAAAAGCAGUUUUUACUUAUGAAAUGAGUUUAUACAAUGUGGAACUUUCUUCUUUUUUAAAAGUCAGCUGUGCUGACCACAAGAUGAAUUGUCCUGACAGUAGUUGGUAUUAGUGCUUUAAGCAGAGGUGGGAAGAGUAAGUACCACCCAACCGUCCUCUUACUUAAAGCUCAGCUGAGUACUUGCCACAAAAUGACAUCUUUCUGAAUUGCCUUGUCUUGUUUAGCUGACACUCUAAUUAUGUGGUUCAUAUUCUGCUGUAUUUUGGAGGUUAUAUAAUUGUUGAAUUAUAAAUGUUCAGCCAGCCAUGGACAGUUGCUGUUUGGUUUUAAAUAGCAUCUUUCACAUCCAAGUGGACAAAUGGAAAACUUAAUGACUAUAAAAUAUGGCUUUAAAAAAUUUAAGUUUGAAGACAUUGGGUUAGGCAAGAUUUGUCAUAUCACUUAACUCAGUAAUAUGCCACCGUAUGUAUGUAAGUAGUCACAUUCUUUUUCCUAGUUAUAAACGGCUCUGCAUUUAUAAUAUUUCAUGACUACUGUAGAGUCUUGUACUUUUUGUUCAUAACAGAAAUAGCUUUGCUAGAUGCUAGUUUGGUUGGUCUAACUCUAAAUAUUUCCAUGGCUUAAUCAACCAUAGCUUAAAUUUUGUUAAAUUCAUUGGAAGUUGAACAUAUACUUCCCUACUUCCUGGGAGCAUUAAUUAACAAGAGAUUAUUCUGACUUAUUUCAUUUGAGAUAAAAGGUAUUUUAAAUAUAUAUGAAAUAUUCUGUUUUUAAUCUGUUACAUAAAAAGGGAGAGAGCCAAGGACAUUUAAGUACCAGUUCUGUGUUGUUUUCUUCUGAGGCAUUAAAGCAAGCAUUGAAGAGUUAUAUAAGGAAGGACUUCUGGCUUUGGUAAUGGUGGAAUAGCUUGUAAUGUACAAGCCCUCCCAAUUAUAAACUCUGGGAAAAACAUAACUGUCUGAAGACACUGGGGAAUGACCAAAAGCAAGCUGAGAACUAUACUUAUAUAUAGCUUUUUCCCUCAGGCCAUUCCCCAGUCUGUCUGGUAAGGGAUGGCUAGAAUUCAAGAGAAGGCUAGAAUUCAAGAGUCUUAUUGGCUUGAGGUGUCAGAGAAAUUGGGGGCUGCUAGAGGAGCUGUAAAGUGAGGAGGAAAUUCUAGAAAUGGAGAUGGCACUGAAGGAGGAGCCAGCCUUACAGUCUGUAUACGAAUCUCCUCUUAAUUCUUUGGCUAACUGCUGAAUUAUGCUUUGUACAGGGGAAGCCAUGAACCUGGUGGAAAGCCAUAGCUGGAAGGCUGAAAAAUCUGAGCAAAGUUUGUUGCUUUGUAUUGCAAGGGAAAACAGUUUUGAGUUUGAAUCCCGUCAAGUUAGAAGGCUUGCUGAUAUCAUACACAGGGAAUGAGGUGAAAGAAUAAUUCAGGGUUAAUCCAAAUAUCUGGAAACAAAUACUGUGAGAUGGUGUUCAUCAGGCAAAAUAAUCAGAGCCACAAUGAGGGCCUUCACAUGUUAAGACCUUACCAAUCUCCAAGCAUCUCCUCUCUCUGUAAAGGGCCCUGCAGGGCAAGGAGGGGGUGUGAGGUGGCUGCACAGUUUAAAUUCAGUGGCAAAGGUAGGAAAUACGCAUGAGAGCACUGAAUGAAGGAAUGAAUUUAAGCAAUGUAUAUGGAACUAUUGCACCAUAAUCUAUUUUGUCAUGGUAAUUGUUCACUGAUUUUACUGGAGAGUCUGUUUAAGUCAGCUACAACUUCUUGGGUCUUUAAACCACAGCAGAAUGAAGUACUUAAUACAGCAGUCAUCAGAAAAACACUGGAUUUAAGGUCAGUACCUUACCACUGGCUAUCCCUCAGGCAAGUCAUUUAAAGUCCCCCAAAACAGCUUCCUCAUCUGUAAAAUGCAGUUAAGAAUUCCUUCCCCAGAGCUGGGGUUGGGGUGGGAUUUGAAAAUGCUCUAUCAAUCAUAAAAGCAUGCAAAAUUCUUUUUUGAAAUAUCAAAUGUGAUAACCUGGAAAAGACCACAGAAAGAACCUGACACAGAAAUACUAAUAUACGUUGACCCCCAAUCUUUCUGUUUUAAUCUGUAGUUAGGAAAUGGUUAAACAUAAACCAAAAGAUGGUCUCAUCAAAAAGACUCCCAUCUAUUUAGCUUUUAACUAUACUUCUCUGCAAAUGUUUUUCUUUUGAUACGUAAUUUUUCAUUGUAUUUGUGGGUCUAGAUUCUAUGGUAGAGAUCUAGAUGACUAAGGCUUCUGGUGGAUCAUGUCUUGAAACCAUCUUCUUCCAUUAAUAAAACUUUUAGUGAGCUUCAAAGAAUAACAUUUAUUUAUUUUUGCCAACGUUCUUGUGAACUGUAAAAUAAUUUGUUUUGAAGAUGGUAACAGAAAGAAAAAAGUUUAACUUUAUCAAGGUAAUGCUUUUAUGUUGAAAGUAAGCAAUUGAAUAUUUGGGGUCCAGGUAAGACUUCAAAAAUUCACCCUAUUGAUUUAAAAAACUUGUUUGGUUCUGUAUUUCAUUUAAUGCCCAAUUUUGUGUGGCUCUGAGAACAAAUAUUAAAAACUCAAAAGCUCCCUAAGUAAUAAAACUACCAAGUGUCAAGACUGAAAUGGUAUAUAUAACCCGUGAGAAUUAGCCUAGUUUCUGAAAAGUACCAGCUCAGAGAAUAUAAACAAAAUAAAGAAACUAAGCAAUCCUUAAACUGGGUUUAGCCUCGAGCAAUUAACAGAAAAUUUCACUCACAAGUUAAAAGUAUCCAAGAGCACAGAUGUCAUUGUAUUUUAAAAAUCAGGAACUGGUUUCAUAAGAGUAAAAAAGUAAAAGAGAGUACAAAAAUUAUAUUUUCCACAAAGAAUAUUCUAAACCUCAUAAUGAAAGUAUGGAAAUAAUAUUCUAAAUCUCAUAAUUACUUAUGAAAAACAAGACAAUAAAACUCCAUUUAUAAAGUGCCUUAAUGUACCAAAAAUGGAGGUCAGCUUCCCUUUAUUUACAAAUGAUUUUUCAUCACAUUUACAGAAAGGCAAAUAUUACACUGGAGAGGCAGCACAACAGAGUAGGAAGAAGUUGACUUGGAGUCAGAAGACCUGGGUUCUAGUCUUGGCUUUGCCACUAAUUCUCUCUGUGACCUUGAGUAAUGGACAGCAUUUCUGGGCUUCAAUUUUCUCAUCUCUAAAAUGAGAGGUAGAAUGAGACUGCUUUUAAGGACAGUCCCUUAGAUGUAAAAUUCUGUUACUCAAUGAAAUCUUUUUGUUCUUAAAUCCCAGCAUUGUAGGAGCAUGCCACAAUGUUAAUCUAUACAAAAUUGAUUAUCCCAUAGUAGGUAAAAACAUCAUAGAACUCUCAUCAACUACAUUUGGAGUCACUGACUGGGCUACUUUACAAAGGUGCACAAGUCACAGUAUUUUGGUUCCUGGCGUAUACAUGUAGGCUUUGAAGAAUGCUGAAGCAUCUGGAUACAAGGUAAAUCCCAGUGCCACUACCUACUACUUCUUUAUGCCUCUGCACAAGACAGCUUGGCAACAAUAAGAAGAAUACGGAGCUACAGAUUACACACUGCCUCUCACAAAAGUGCACAGGGAGUCAGCAAAAUAAAACACACACAGUAAGCCCUUUGAGUAAUAUAAUCUAGAUUUCAAAACGCAAAACUAAUAUAGGUAAUUUCAGUUUGGGGAAGUUUACCUUGCUAAGUAAACUGCCCCAGAGCAAAACAAAUUUGUUCUCCAGAGAAUAUUUCGGUUUUUAAAAAAUUGGCAAAGUUCUACUCAGAGAUUCAUCCCCCUCUCUUGAGCCCCAAGAAUUACUUAGCUCAAUAAUAAAGACAUCUCAAAUCUUUAACAACAAUCAGGUAAUGUUUCUGAGUGGAAUUAUCUAUUUUAGCAGUACACCUGUGCCAAAAACACAGAUGAGACAGAGUAUUUGUUAUAACAGUAUUUGUGAGAACAAAGUUGCUUUUUUUUUCACACUAAUUUGUCCUUACUGCACACACAGGUUUAAGGACAUUUAAUUAAAGCAUAAAUGUAAAUGCCAACCUGCUAAAUCAUACAAGCUGGCAACCUCUUGUAACAGGUGCAAAAUUAGAGUUCCAUAUCAGUCUAAUAAUGUGUAUGCUCAAUGCCUUAUCAAAGAAAAGACAUACGCAUGCACUUGUGUAUUGAGAAUAGAGUUAAAAUGAUGAAAAGCUUCACUUGGAGUGGAGGGCUUGGUGAAAGGCAGAACUGCAUCUGCAAAUGCACUGGUCAGUUUUCCAGGCCAGUGCAAAUAUUAUCUCCACAUGUGAACAAUCAGUACAAUUACAUAUAAUAUUAGUUUUUAAAGGCACACAACCAAAAUUCCUGCCUUCAUCUAGACUCACAUUUUCCACAAUAUGCCAAAACCCACAGAACACCCCAGGCUUCUAUCAGGCUUGGUGGUGGAUGAAAACUUCCAAAUGACUCCUUAGACUUAUAAUGAAAAAGCAGUACAUUAUCAGGACGUUUCCUUUUAUACUUUCCCUCCUUAAACAUCUCAACAGUUGUUUUCGUCAAACAUAUUCUGUUGCAGGAAUUCUUAGCUUCAGAACUGCCUGGCAGUAAGUAGAAAUGCUUUGAAAAUACUGCUUAAUCUGCAAAACGGAGACUGUCAACAACUCAUAGCAAUCUGCAGCAGUUUAGAAAAGCAUAAAGUAGUCCAGUUUUCCUACUAUAGUUCAUAAACUGUAGAUCAGAAAUAGGGAGAAAGAUACUCUAUAACUUAGACAAAAUAACAGCGAUUUCUGCCCCAUCAGUGAAAAAGUGCUUAUUAUUGGUUUACAUUCUAAACAAGUAUUCCCAUCCUGCAGGGUUUUUUCCCCCAAGAAUUCAGUUUUUUAAAGUUAAAAGGGGAGAUACCUUAUGAUAAAACAAAGAACAAUGGGUAAAUGUCUAUCCAGAUCAAUAUUUCUUCAUAAACCACAGAGAAUCUUUGAGUGUUCAAGCACUUGUCAUCUCAAAUCACGAUUUUAUUUUUCAAAUACACCAGAACCCAGAAAUCAACUUAUUUAUUACUUCUAAGACACCUGUUUUAUCACAACUGAUCUGUAUCUUCAAUAGUUCAAACUCAAUAAAAUGUUGCUUUUAGGAUUUCUGAAAGCAACUGUAUUUGUGCAAGGCUUGCACAAGAAAACAAAUUGUAUGACUUAGCAUUUGAGGAAUGAAAAAACACAAUAACAUUGUCACAACCAUUUCUGCCUUCACUCUACAUUGCCUUUCCUUUCAUUAAGAAAAUCCAUCAACAGCGAGGAGACAUAGCAAAGGUUAUCACAGACAAGUAGCUUUUAGAGAAAUUUGGGAUUUAGCAGAUGUUUUAAGUUAGUCAAAACAACCGUCUGUAAAACAAAUGCUUUGCAAAGUUUUGAAAAUACAGUCCAUGGAAUAAUGCAAUGUGAUAACUGAAUCUGAUUUAAAAAGCAAAAUAACACCUGUUUUUUGAUGAGGUAAAGCAGUAAGAGGAAACUUUUCAUAUAUUUAAACCUAUGCUGGAAAGACACGAAAAGACAAUCUGUAUACAUCACUAACAAGAGUCUUCCACCUUAUACAGAUUACAGAAUUACCCAUUAAAAAACAUAUGCAUGACCUUUGAUGGUACAUUUUUAUGCUGGCAAAUACAUUUUCUGAUACAAAGGCACUUUGAAAACCCAAUAUGGUUUGGUUCAUAAGUUUGCAAGGUACAAACAAUUUUACAAACAUAUGAUUAUACUGAAGAACGUCAACAAUCGUGACAUUACAUAUAAAAUGAUUUCUUUUUUUUUCUUUUCUUUUUUUUUUUUUUAGUAACACUAGUUUUGUGGAAAGGAAGCAGUGGCUUCCAUCAGCUUCAGCGAAGACAUUCAGAUGCCUGGAGGCCCAUAGUCCGAAUUCUUACUGGCUAGGAGGAGAACUGGGAGUGAGGGCAUUUUUGAAAUGGAAAAAGAAAAGAAAGGAAACAAAAACUAACAUCCUGGAACAAAACUAGAAACCUCAGAAAUCAAAAUGGUUUGGAGGGAAGAGCACAAAAGACAAGACCAACAGUCCAGGAGGGACCCUCUUAACUCUGAUCCCUCAGCUGUGAAGUCCUGGCAGAGCACAAAAGGCUGACGCUACCUGGUGUACUUGGAGCUGGGGAUUUGUAGUGACGAUUUCCGUCUUAAAAAGCUAGGUACAGUGUUUUGGAUUGUACAGUACCAGAAAUAUUGGGUCCCCCAAAAAGGACAAUUUCUUUUCAUUCAUUACAUGGCCGCAAAGUCAAUCUGUACAUAAAGCUGUCUCACUCCAGCCUGAAAAGUAAAAAAAAAAAAAAAAAAAUUAGAAAAUCAAACAAUAA